rnacentral:rRNA from 1 species
AGAUUGAACGCUGGCGGCAUGCCUUACACAUGCAAGUCGAACGGCAGCACGGGAGCAAUCCUGGUGGCGAGUGGCGAACGGGUGAGUAAUAUAUCGGAACGUGCCCAGUCGUGGGGGAUAACGCAGCGAAAGCUGUGCUAAUACCGCAUACGAUCUAUGGAUGAAAGCGGGGGAUCGCAAGACCUCGCGCGAUUGGAGCGGCCGAUAUCAGAUUAGCUAGUUGGUAGGGGUAAAAGCCUACCAAGGCGACGAUCUGUAGCUGGUACUGAGAGGACGACCAGCCAACACUGGAACUGAGACACGUCCAGACUACCGUACGGGAGCGAGCAGGUGGGAAUUUUGGACAAUGGGCGACGAAGCCUAGACUCCAGACAA